rnacentral:rRNA from 1 species
UACGUAGGGGGCUAGCGUUGUCCGGAAUCAUUGGGCGUAAAGAGCGUGUAGGCGGCCCGGUAAGUCCGCUGUGAAAGUCGGGGGCUCAACCCUCGAAUGCCGGUGGAUACUGUCGGGCUAGAGUGCGGAAGAGGCGAGUGGAAUUCCUGGUGUAGCGGUGAAAUGCGCAGAUAUCUGAAAGAACACCAGUGGCGAAGGCGGUCAACUGGUCCAUUACUGACACUAAAGCACGAAAGCGUGGGUAGCGAACAGG